ACAAAACAAGAAAAAGAGAGAUCAAAGUGAAAUUUGGUUAUGAAAAAAAAAAUCAUACAAUAAAUAGAGAAAAGACUUUGAGAGAGAUGGAGGCGGAGAGUGUAAAAAAACCUAGACACUAUUGGUAAACGGAAAUGGUGUGCAGAAAAAUGAGAGUAAAAUUUGAAGGGGAAAAAAAUCACACUUUUCUCCCUAAAAAAUCAAACCCUAGCCACCAUAUUCUCAUGCAUUCACAACAACUCACAAUAGCCACCAACGUUCACAACAACCCCUAAACCAUCACAACAGUUGCCACAACUCCUUUCUUUCCAUUGCGAUAAUGAAUGUGAAACUUCUCUCCUCGGUUUCUCUCUCACCUAACCUUUAUAUUUUUUGUGAUACCACCACUAUUCUCUUCAUUUAUAAACCCCCUACAAAAUCCCUCCAUCAAUUAAAGAUAAUGACCCCUAUAUCGUCAUAGAUUGAGGAGAGAGAAGGACUAAUACCAAAACUUCUCUCCUCAAGUUAUCUCUCCUCCAACCUCUAAAUAAAGCACCACCAACACCAUUUAUCUCCCUUAGAUGACUACUACACAAUCAUAUAAGUCAUAUAACCUAAUUAUAGCAGAUCUAAAAACUAAUGAGAGAAAAACAAACCAAUAGAGAGAGAAAAAAGAAGCUGACACUUUGAGGGCUUUGAUCUCCCUCCACAAGCGAUGGUAUGUUGUGACAUCUCCAUCACAUGAAUGAAAAUGAAGGAAGCCACGUGUCUGGUGGGCUAGUCAUAUGCCUUCCAGCCUCAUGCAAAACAUGAAA
rnacentral:lncRNA from 1 species